rnacentral:lncRNA from 1 species
GAAUCGUGGCACUGCAGGCAGACGCGUCUCCCGCAGAUUCGAGGUCUGUGAGCGUGGGGAAGAGACAGUUAAAGUUUCCUGUGUGAGCGAGUUACAGCACGCAGCAGCCCCAGUGCCAGGCCAGCAGUCUGCGUGGAGCUCGGAUGUGGCUGGUGGCGCCAGGCAGUGCCAGCCUCCCAGGGUAGCGCUUUUAAGGAUUCCUGAUGCAGCAGACUCCGGGCUGCAGCCUUGGCGAACCUCUGACCGCUGAGCUGGUGGGGUACUGCACUCCACCUGGAGCUCCCCGGACAGGACAGGCUGCAAACGUAGCACCCGUGGACGCCCCGGCUGCUACCAGGACAAAGGAGUCCUCCCUGCACAGAAAACAAAAGGUGGAGCGGAGUCUACUCUGGUGGCUGGGAAAAGUCAACAAACGGACAAGCCCGAGCUGCCAAGAAAGACUGGGCUUUUCAAAGGACCCAGGAUCUUGGGAGCCCCGGAGACCCUGGCGCCGCACCACCCAGCUCCUCGGCGGGCUGUGCAGGCCCUGGAGAGGCUGCUGAGCCCCAAGCGAGACAAGGUUACAGUCAGGGACUCGGUGUCCUGAGCAUCUGAGCCCAGGUGCGGACACACAUGUUCACGGGGACGCUGCACACUGGGCACAUGCGACCAGCACAGUGGGGUCCACACGCAGUGCUCCCCCUGGAAAGGGCUACACCCUGCCGUCCCGGCUGCUUCCAGAGUGCUGGCGUUACAGGCAUGAGCCAGCGUAUCCAACAGGAAGGGAUUUAUGAUGAGGAAUUGGCUGGAACAGUUCGGAAGACUGGGAAGUCCCAGCACCUUCUUCCUCCACGUGGAGUCCCAGCAAAGCAUUUACAGUGGGUCAGACCCUGUGCUCUAUGAACAAAGGGAGAAUCAACUUUAGGUUUCUGACAGACUUGGCUUGGCAGCUAACUUGAACGACAUACAAGGUCGCUAUACUGGAAAGAAUUACUCAUUUUUAGUUUGACCUUCAGUUUUUCCUUAGAAAACAAACAAAAGGGGGUGCUGUCAAGAUUAAAUUAAACCCAUUAAUUCACUUGGUCAUCAAGUACUAGUCCUCCUCAUAGCCUGGUGUUUACAUAAGGGAAGAUUGCGAUCCAGUUUUGAAAUGUUUUUAAAAGUGUAAUGAUUCACAAAAGGAAAAUGUCUUCCAUCCACUAGGACAUUAGUUAGUUGUUUUGUCCAUCUUGAAAGAUUCAUGCUCUCAGUAUGUUUUUAUCAGUGGAUCGCUAUUGUGUUAGUUACUUUUCUCAGUGCUGAGACAAAAUACUCAGCACCCAAAGUCAGAGGGGAAGGAGUUUAUUUAGCUCACAAUUCAUAGAGGUUCCAGUCCAUAAUCAGUUGGCUCCAAGACAGGCAUCACAGAGGAGAAACAACAUGGUACACACAAAGUAGCAAAAGAACAAGAGGCCUUAACAGCGUCUUCCUCCCCCUUUUAUCCCACCCAGACUACCAGGGUUAGGGCUGUGCCAAACCAAUUACUCUCCUAUAUUGGUUUUGUAACCACACCCCCUUAACCCCAGCGUCACACAUUCCAGAUUCAGCCACUUCUGAAAAAAGAAAGUUCUACCUCAUCCGCCUGAGGCUUUGUGUCUGUGUGUGGGACCUCUAAACACAAACCAUAACACCUAUAGAAAAUAAUUAUAACAAUUUCUUCCAAUUGUAACUCCUACAAUGUGGUAGACCAGUUGUUCUCAAAACUCAGUAAAAUCUCCUCAAAUUUUGGAUGCCCAAUGAUGGAUGUUAUUGUAAAUGCUUAGCUGCGUUCUGGAGAAAAGUAGAGGCAGGGGCAGUACUCAAGAUAAUGUGUGAGCCCCCCAGGGAAGGUGGACCACAAGCAAGCUUUUCCAGGGUGUAUAGAGGGGCCAGGUCUGCAGUGGUCUCAGAAAACAGAGUUGAGACCUUAAAUCCACUGGAGUCUGAAAUAGAAAUUUGCUUCUUCUCUUGCUUCAACAGUUAGGCCUUGGGAGCCACAUCCUCAUUGCAAAGCCCCCAUCUACAGUGCCCCAGUGUCUACCUGGUGUGAGGUUUGAACAAAACUAGGUGAGAGCAGGUUUCCAGGUGUAUAGCAGGAUUGGAGAUAAACAGAAAGGAUCAAGAUUGAGAAUCUUUGGCACAGCUGGGCAAAGGAACCACAAAACCACUCUUGAAUAGUGGACUGUACCAAAAGGACUCUGCCAAAGAGGAGCCUGACAUCCCCCAAUCUAAAAGUCAUUUAAAAAGAAAAUGUG